CGUUACUCGGAAUCACUGGGCGUAAAGAGCAUGUAGGCGGAUUAAUAAGUUUGAAGUGAAAUCCUAUAGCUUAACUAUAGAACUGCUUUGUAAAACUAGUUAGUCUAGAAUGUGGGAGAGGUAGAUGGAAUUUCUGGUGUAGGGGUAAAAUCCGUAGAGAUCAGAAGGAAUACCGAUUGCGAAGGCGAUCUACUGGAACAUUAUUGACGCUGAGAUGCGAAAGCGUGGGGAGC
rnacentral:rRNA from 1 species